rnacentral:rRNA from 1 species
AGAAACCAACCGGGAUUGCCCCAGUAACGGCGAGUGAAGCGGCAACAGCUCAAAUUUGAAAUCUGGCCCGCUCGGGUCCGAGUUGUAAUUUGCAGAGGAUGCUUCUGGCAAGGCACCGCCCAAGUCCCCUGGAACGGGGCGCCGGAGAGGGUGAGAGCCCCGUACGGUCGGCUGCCGCGCCUCGGUGAAGCUCCUUCGACGAGUCGAGUAGUUUGGGAAUGCUGCUCUAAGCGGGAGGUAGACCCCUUCUAAAGCUAAAUACCGGCCAGAGACCGAUAGCGCACAAGUAGAGUGAUCGAAAGAUGAAAAGCACUUUGAAAAGAGGGUUAAACAGCACGUGAAAUUGUUGAGAGGGAAGCGCUUGCGAUCAGACGUGCGCCGGGGUGCUCCGUGGGCGUUCUCGCCCGCGUACUCGCCCCGGCGCAGGCCAGCGUCGGUUCGGAUGGGGGGAUAAAGACGCCUGGGACGUGGCUCCCCCGGGAGUGUUAUAGCCAGGCGUGCCAUGCCCCCGCCCGGACCGAGGUUCGCGUCCUGCAAGGACGCUGGCGUAAUGGUCCCCAGCGGCCCGUCUUGAAACACGGACCAAGGAGUCGAGGUUUUGCGCGAGUGUUUGGGUGGCAAACCCGCACGCGUAAUGAAAGUGAACGUUGGUGGGAGCUUCGGCGCACCACCGACCGAUCCUGAAGUUUACGGAUGGAUUUGAGUACGAGCGCAGGGCCUCGGACCCGAAAGAUGGUGAACUAUGCUUGGAUAGGGUGAAGCCAGAGGAAACUCUGGUGGAGGCUCGCAGCGGUUCUGACGUGCAAAUCGAUCGUCAAAUCUGAGCAUGGGGGCGAAAGACUAAUCGAA